UACGUAGGGUGCAAGCGUUGUCCGGAAUUAUUGGGCGUAAAGAGCUCGUAGGCGGUUUGUUGCGUCGGCUGUGAAAUCCCGAGGCUCAACCUCGGGUCUGCAGUCGAUACGAGUAAACUAGAGUGUUGCAGGGGAGACUGGAAUUCCUGGUGUAGCGGUGAAAUGCGCAGAUAUCAGGAGGAACACCGAUGGCGAAGGCAGGUCUCUGGGCCACUACUGACGCUGAGAAGCGAAAGCAUGGGGAGCGAACAGGAUUAGAAACCC
rnacentral:rRNA from 1 species